GUAGUCAAAUUUUGGUAUAUUCUAUUCUCCGGGAACUAUUCUAUCUUCAAACAUAUUAUGUAAGUGAAUAGAGCCGUGUCAGAGAAUAUUUAGAGCUACAUGGGGAGGUGAAGAGAACUUAUAAAGUCUUGUUAAGUACUGACUUUUGAUCGCCUUGUUGGCUCUCGGGGUAUCUAGGCUCCUACAAGAUGGCGGAUUACUCGGCUAUCGAUUUCUCAGAAAUUGACGAGCUUUGCAACUUUGUGGACGGUAAGGGAGGAAUCAAGUUCAAUUUGUUUGAGAUAGAUGAAGACGUAGAGAUCAAUGCUGGCAUCCCGAGCCAUGGCCUCAUGGACGACGAUGCCAUGCUGGCUGUGGACUCCAGCAAUGCCCUGAUCCUGGGCGAUCCUCUGCUCAAUACUUUUGACCAGAAUGAGUUGCUCGAGCUUCAGUCAGCAUCACCUAGUCACAACCCCGAGACUCUCAUGCCAGUUUCCCUUCCAGCGGACUCUCCACAUCGACUCCACGCCAUCUCUCCAACUGCCAAUCCAGACAACAGCUCCUCGCCUGCUGUGCCUGACUCCCCUACUACAGUCGAAGAAGGAAGCAAGGGAGACGGUGCAGGGACCAAUGCCACACCAACUCAGGAGCCAGUACGUAUCAUUGUGAAAACCAAGAAGAACACAGGAGAGAUGGUGGCACCAUUGUCGCUCCCCCAGCCGGCUCACAACCUUGUCAGGAUCCCUAAAUCUGGGUCGACAACCCAGCUGGCUCGCUUGAGGACACUCCGUACUGGUGGUAAGCUUGGUCCAACAGGUACAGGCACUCGUAUCCUUGGAACUGCAUCACCAACAGUUACCCGUGUCCCAGUGACUGUGCGCAAAAUACUUCCAACCAGUUCACCGCAUCCCUCUGAACCAACUCCAAAAAGGUUGUGUGUUACACCAGGAGCAGCAUCGGCAGAUAAUGGAGCAGCAGAAGAAGCUCUGCCGUUCAGGUCCUUGCGAGUGAGAAACAAUUCAGAAUCUUCUGUUGGAUCUCAGGCAUCAACUAGCAUCGGAAUGAAGCGGAAGGCUUAUGAACUCGAUCCCUUGGAAGACCCAGAGAUGGAAAGAUGUCGCCGCAAUGCAAUAAACGCCAAACGGAAUAGGGAGCAGAAAAAGGCACAGCUGGCAGAGUUGGAGCGCACAGUGGAGAGUGUUAGCCGGGAACGUGACCAACUGGCAGGGGAGAAUGAGAGUCUCAGGGAAGCUAAAAUGAAGCUCGAGCAGCAAGUGAAGCACCUAAGUAAUAUCCUCAAGAACCAAUCAAAGCUCUCUGAAGUGAUCAGCAAGUUGGGAAUGACUAGUGUUGUGCUAGGUGAAAUGACCACGAGUGCGGAAGAAGAAGUGGUCUCAAGUGGUAUGUGUUUACAUGUCAAUGGUGAUGAAACCACCAUUGAAUAUUGUUCAUAUUGUGCUAAGAAAGCAGGAAAGAAGCUUUCAUUGUGAUUGUGAUAACAAGUUAUUUAGUGAAUGAAAUUUAUCAGGAUUCAGAAUCAUGUUAUAUAAAUCUGUGACAAAUGUUUGGUUAUUGAAAUACUGUUAUAUUGUGACAGUAUAAGGUUUUGCAUGUAAAUAUGUUAACAUGGUGUUAUGUAUAACUGGAGACUUUUGUAUUGAGUGAUCUUGUGACUGGUGAUUUAUUUGGUUUUGAUUAAUUUUAAGGUAGUGAAGUGAGGUCUUUAUUUAUGUAUAAAAGAUAUACAAGUAUUUCUAUAGAUAUGUAGAUAAUUUCCAGAUUUUGGCAGUUAAAACUGCAAUGUCCUAUAGCUUGUGUUACGCUUUCCUCUUUUUCCCCACAGCCAGCGGGAGGUGACUGGACUGGGCGGCAGCAGUUUCACGGAACAGGUGGGAUGGGACCCCCUGAUCCCUAAAAGGGACAGGGACCCAACCCAACCGCACCGUUUUAGCCCCCUGCCACCGUCCUCCCCCCUCUUGCACCAUCGCUGGCUACCAGCAGCUGCAAUCACCCCUAAAGUUAAGUAUUGAUGGUGAGUGUGCUACGCUUAGCCAUGUAGAAUUGUCAAGCUUAACAUUCUAUCAUUAUCAUAGUUUAUAAAGGAUUCCUCCAGUGGUUACUCUAACUUAGCUCAAAUAUUUGAAGGGCCUUUAAAGAGUCAUUGUGCAGGAUUAUCGUGUGGAUUGUGUAUGAGAAUGAAAUCUUAUUACACUGUUUUUGUGUAUGCAACUGACAGUACUGCAUGAUAUUUUAUGUUGGAAAGAUGUAAACCUAUUGAAUAGGGAAUUUAACAUACCAUGAUGGGCCAGGUAAUCAUUGGAAGAGUUUUCAUGUUCAAUUGUAGCUCCCUGAAUAUUCCAAUCACUGAAUUUCCUCUUUGUUAUUUUUUUCUAACUGUUGAUGACUCUGAUGCAGGGUUUCAUUGAAAUUAUGUGAGUAAUAAUGCUGUGUGUGAAUUUGUAAACUGAAAAUUUUUAUUUUCAGCCUCCUAGUCAUAUUGUUUUGGAUAAUGUGUAUUUAUAUAUUGUGUGAGAGUACUUUUCUGACAAUGAUGAGUUAUUACAAGUGUAACAUCUCUAUUGUGAUACUAGGUUUAAUGUAAUUACAGGGAGCUACAAUUUUUCACCACCAUGCAAUCUACAUGGCAGAGCAUAUUUAUAAAUGUUUGGAUGGUAUCCAGCCAUACUGUAAAUAAUAUCAUCUUGUUCAUCCUAAUUAAAUAUAUAUUUUUGUAAUUAAAAUAUCAAUUGAAA